rnacentral:rRNA from 1 species
GAUGAACGCUGGCGGCGUGCCUAAUACAUGCAAGUCGAGCGAACAGACGAGGAGCUUGCUCCUCUGACGUUAGCGGCGGACGGGUGAGUAACACGUGGAUAACCUACCUAUAAGACUGGGAUAACUUCGGGAAACCGGAGCUAAUACCGGAUAAUAUAUUGAACCGCAUGGUUCAAUAGUGAAAGACGGUUUUGCUGUCACUUAUAGAUGGAUCCGUGCCGCAUUAGCUAGUUGGUAAGGUAACGGCUUACCAAGGCAACGAUGCGUAGCCGACCUGAGAGGGUGAUCGGCCACCCUGGAACUGAGACACGGUCCAGACUCCUACGGGAGGCAGCAGUAGGGAAUCUUCCGCAAUGGGCGAAAGCCUGACGGAGCAACGCCGCGUGAGUGAUGAAGGUCUUCGGAUCGUAAAACUCUGUUAUUAGGGAAGAACAAAUGUGUAAGUAACUAUGCACGUCUUGACGGUACCUAAUCAGAAAGCCACGGCUAACUACGUG